CUCUGGUUCUCAUACGAUCACCAAAGUUAAGCAAUGUCAAGCAUGGUUAGUACCUAGAUGGGUGACUGCUUGUGAAUACCAGGUGCUGCAAGC